rnacentral:lncRNA from 1 species
AAUAGUGAAACAAAUUAGCAGAAGGGCCACCAAGAGAGUACACCCAACCCUAAUUCACAGAUGUCUCAGUUUAUCAGUUUUCUGUCAAUCAUUAAAACAAGAAGGAUGAAACAUACAAUUAUACACGAGGAGACAGAACUCCUAAUUCUUUCAUCUUAGCUGAAGCGUAAGAGUUUUAAUUGCUUGGAAAAAUAAGAUUUUUGUUUU